rnacentral:rRNA from 1 species
UACGGAGAGUGCAAACGUUGUUCGGAUUCACUGGGCGUAAAGGGCACGUAGGCGGCUCGGCAAAUCGGUCGUGGAAUCCCGACGCUUACCGUCGGAACGGCGGCCGAAAAUACCGGGCUCGAGGGCGUGAGGGGUCACUGGAACUCCUGGUGAAGCGGUGAAAUGCGUAGAUAUCAGGAAGAACACCCGUGGCGAAGGCGGUUCUCUGGAACGCAACUGACGCUGAGACGCGAAAGCGUGGGGAGCAAACAGG